GGGGGUAUAGCUCAGUUGGGAGAGCGCCUGCUUUGCAAGCAGGAUGUCGUCGGUUCAAGUCCGUCUACCUCCA
rnacentral:tRNA from 3 species